rnacentral:rRNA from 1 species
AGUGAACGCUGGCGGUAGGCCUAACACAUGCAAGUCGAACGGCAGCACAGUAAGAGCUUGCUCUUACGGGUGGCGAGUGGCGGACGGGUGAGGAAUACAUCGGAAUCUACUUUUUCGUGGGGGAUAACGUAGGGAAACUUACGCUAAUACCGCAUACGACCUACGGGUGAAAGCAGGGGAUCGUCGGACCUUGCGCGGUUGAAUGAGCCGAUGUCGGAUUAGCUAGUUGGCGGGGUAAAGGCCCACCAAGGCGACGAUCCGUAGCUGGUCUGAGAGGAUGGUCGGCGACACUGGAGCUGAGACACGGUCCAGACUCCUGCGGGAGGCAGCAGUGGGGAAUAUUGGACAGUAGGCGGAAGCCUGACCCAGCCAUACCGCGUGGGAGAAGAAAGCCUUCGGGUUGGAAAGCCCUUUUGUUGGGAGAGAAAAGCAGCAGGUUAAUACCCAGCUGUUCUGACGGUACCCAAAGAAUAAGCACCGGCUAACUUCGUG